rnacentral:rRNA from 1 species
CCUACGGGGGGCAGCAGUGAGGGAUAUUGGUCAAUGGACGAGAGUCUGAACCAGCCAAGUAGCGUGAAGGAUGACUGCCCUAUGGGUUGUAAGCUUCUUUUAUAUGGGAAUAAAAUGUUCCACGUGUGGGAGUUUGUAUGUACCAUAUGAAUAAGGAUCGGCUAACUCCGUGCCAGCAGCCGCGGUAAUACGGAGGAUCCGAGCGUUAUCCGGAUUUAGUGGGUUUAAAGGGAGCGUAGGUGGAGUGUUAAGUCAGUUGUGAAAGUUUGCGGCUCAACCGUAAAAUUGCAGUUGAAACUGGGAGUCUUGAGUACAGUAGAGGUAGGCGGAAUUCGUGGUGUAGCGGUGAAAUGCUUAGAUAUCACGAAGAACUCCGAUUGCGAAGGCAGUUCACUGGACUGCAACUGACACUGAGGCUCGAAAGUGUGGGUAUCAAACAGGAUUAGAUACCCCUGUAGUC